AUUUUGGCAUUUACGUUUGACAGAUUUUCACCACCUGCUUGCAGCAAAUGCGCCUUUUUGGCAAGGAAAUGAGUUUCAGAGAGGAGAGAAGAGAAGAGAGAAGCAAGGGGUCCAAAGAGCUCCUUUAUCACUUGCUCAUGAUAUUGAUUGUCCUAUCAGCUGACAUUGCUCUGAGGGAGCUCACGAGACGUGGAACAGAGUGAUAAAUUGAGCCUCGGAGGCCUCUUCUGAUAGAUUAGAUCUGCAGCCCAGAGGCGCGAGUAGACAUCUGAUUUAUUUACAAAUACACCAAGGAAGUCGAACUGGUCUGGAAAUAGUCUGUGCAGUCUUUAUUUAUCGUGUCAUUUUUGGGGCAUCAUUGGAGAACCUCCCAAAUCGUUUUUCGGGACAAUUAAAAAAUGGUUUCUACCGGCAGUUGUUGUAGCACUGUAUCACCACAGGGUGCCGCUCCUUGAUCAUGUUUUUUUUCCAUGUUGAAGCUAACUUGUUAGUCAAAUGUUUCAUGCUCAGGAAACAUUGGUUAAACAGUCUACAGGCGUGUGUGCAUUUUUUAUGUACAGUUUUAUCGUCAUUUAUACUGUCAUUUGGUGACUAUGACUUGACACAUGUUGUGUUCCUGUCCUCUCCUUUAAGGGGUCCUCGAAAAAUCUGCAUUUUGAAAGUCUGAAGUAGUUUGGUAAAAGUACAAAAAUAUACAGGUAUGUAUAUUUAUAUGUCUUCCCCAAGUAGAAGCGGUUGGAGGAAAAGCCCAGCGGUUCCAAGGAUACACACUAGGACAAAAACCCACAGGAAGAUGCGGUCGAUUACCAUAGCAACGUAUUUCCAAUCAUCCUGAACCUGGGAGAGGAUGACAAAACAAUGAAAGAUACAAACUAUGCAGCAGAAGGAAGGAACAGGUGGAAACGAAAAGGAGGUAAAAAGUGGUUUUCAUCUUCCUGGCGAGUGAUGGAUCCAGAGGAGCGGGAGAAAGUGGAGUGAAAGCGCGUCUGUGGAUGCCAAGAGGGAAGGAGAGCAAGUGCAGGGAGGGAGGCAGGCUGAGCCAGCCUCUGACGGGAUGCUGAUCGCCACGGCAACCUAUGGCAGGCUCUGCAAUUAACCCAUCACAUCAGUGAACGGACCAUUCGAGGACUUCCACCACUAGGGGGAGCGAUUAGGGCAGUUCAACGGCUUGCUUGAUGGCUCCUGUCAAAGGAGUAGUACUUCUCAGUCACCCCUAGCCAAGAUCCAUAUGCCACGGUGGCUUUUUCAGAGUGUCAGGUGUUGAUUUAUAUGGAGACAAUUACAGCUACCUGGAAAAUAAUGGUUUUCCUGUGGGAAUAUGUCACGCAUUUCAAGACCACGCACCAAGCAACUAAUUGAGCUCUGGUGUUGAUUAGAGCGGAGGCCACUCGUUGCGGAAAUAUGCAAGAAAAAGUGCACAACUGAAGAAAAAGUACUGACCACACUCAUAACAUCAACUUCUUUUAAAGGGAAAAAUCGAUGUGCCUAUUUGAAGUCAGGUGUUUAUUUGUUCAAUUAAGCGGACGAGUCACCAGGCUAAAUAAUUGUUGUUGUUUUAAGCAAUUCCAGACCAUCUUUAAGGAGCAAGCAUUUACAGUAUUUGUUUACAUGGACGACCAGCCCCUACCACCUAGCAAUUAAUCGAGCCAGAGACGCCCCUACCUACACGCAGAGCACGCGGUGUGCGUAGGGUUCAACAAAUGGGGGGCCCCAUUUUGUGCAACUGUGUGCGAAUGCUCUAAGGAUGUACAUCACUGCCGUGAGGCAUAGAGCGCCACAAGACACG